AAAUGAAUUUUUAUAAACUCAAUUAACCGAAGUAACACUUAACUUUCAGCUGGCAAUGGAGGAGAAUUUCAGGAUGGUUACCCGCGGAGGUGCAGACGGCGAGGGGGUUGGCGGAAUAGAUGUUGCGGUCGUAGGUGACGGCGGCGGGAGCUUGUUCGCACACAUUGCGCAUCCGCUUUAACUGGGAGACCCCCUCCCUUCCACCUGCUCUGGUUCACUCUCUUUCUCUCUCUCUCUCUCUCUACACGUGAACUAUUGGGUGCGUGGUUCUCCGUAUGUGCUUUCCUGAGAUUGUGUGAGAGGAUGUGUGCGUGUGUGAGUGAACGCCACUGAAAGCAGAGCCCCAAGCAUUGCCAAGCAACCUGAGAUCUGCUGGAGGUCAGACAUCCGCUCCUUCGUCGAGGAGGUUUUUCUCAAAGCCGGGAGUUCCUCCAUCUCGCAGUGGGGCACAACCAUGGCGGCAACGAGGCAGUCAGUCCACUCUUCAACUGGGGAAAGCACCUAAAAAUGAUUAGCAAGAUAAUGCACUCCAACAGGUCCUCUACUACCAUACGGGUAGAGCUCUGGGGCAACUUUCUUCUCUUCCAAUUCCUUCAACAAUGGUGUGAAUAGAUCCCAGGCAGCAUCAAGCUGAUCGCUUCUAAUGAACAACCGGCGCUCUCCUUCAAUUACAUCCAACAGCAGCCUCUCGUAUGCAUUUGGUGCUUCUCCAGGAUGCCUUCACAACAAAACCUGAGUCUAUUUAAUAUAUAUCAUUUGUAUAGCACUCCCUCUUAAAGGACUACAAACAGUUCUGAGCUUAAUUUUCAUGAUCUCAUGGACCAAAUGUUUAAAUUUGCAUCCUUUACCUUGGUUUGUGAAGCAAAUUGAGCUCACUGCAAUCUAAUCUCAUGCCAAGCCCAGGAACUUUGUUGUUGACCUUCAGCAUUAUCAGGUCAUUGCAUUGUUCAAGGACUCCCUACGGUUUAUAGGAAAAUGAUAAAAGAAACAAGAAGAAAAAAGGUACUUACCGCUUUGAAUGGAGAGCUUUGCCUGCUAUCAUCAGGAAGGGAACUCCAUCCCAUCGAGAAUUGUUAACAAAGAAUGUAGCUGCUGCAAAUGUUGGUGUGAGGCUGUUCUCAGGCACAGUUGGGUCAUCUGUAUAAGAAGGGUAUCUUGUAUCACCCUCGCUAUAGCCUUUGUACUGACCUAGAACCACAUCAUCAAGCUGAAUAGGUCUCAUCGAGCGUAAAACCUUUACCUGAUUCAAGAUUGUAUCUCUACAUUAUCUUCAUGUAGUUACCAUUAAUUCUUCCCUUAGUAGAGAAAAAUUCAAGUUGAUAGUUUAUAGAUUU